rnacentral:tRNA from 1 species
UUGUAAUGCGAUGGUCAUCGGUUCGACUCCGAUAGCGGGCU